rnacentral:rRNA from 1 species
GAUGAACGCUGGCGGCGUGCCUAAUACAUGCAAGUCGAGCGAACAGACGAGGAGCUUGCUCCUCUGACGUUAGCGGCGGACGGGUGAGUAACACGUGGAUAACCUACCUAUAAGACUGGGAUAACUUCGGGAAACCGGAGCUAAUACCGGAUAAUAUAUUGAACCGCAUGGUUCAAUAGUGAAAGACGGUUUUGCUGUCACUUAUAGAUGGAUCCGCGCCGCAUUAGCUAGUUGGUAAGGUAACGGCUUACCAAGGCAACGAUGCGUAGCCGACCUGAGAGGGUGAUCGGCCACACUGGAACUGAGACACGGUCCAGACUCCUACGGGAGGCAGCAGUAGGGAAUCUUGCGCAAUGGGCGAAAGCCUGACGGAGCAACGCCGCGUGAGUGAUGAAGGUCUUCGGAUCGUAAAACUCUGUUAGUAGGGAAGAACAAAUGUGUAAGUAAAUAUGCACGUCUUGACGGUACCUAAUCAGAAAGCCACGGCUAACUACGUG